UACGUAGGGAGCAAGCGUUGUCCGGAAUUACUGGGCGUAAAGGGUGCGUAGGCGGUAUGGCAAGUCAGAUGUGAAAUCCCCGGGCUUAACUCGGGUGGUGCAUUUGAAACUGCUGUACUUGAGUGCAGGAGAGGAAAGCGGAAUUCCUAGUGUAGCGGUGAAAUGCGUAGAUAUUAGGAGGAACACCAGUGGCGAAGGCGGCUUUCUGGACUGUAACUGACGCUGAGGCACGAAAGCGUGGGGAGCAAACAGG
rnacentral:rRNA from 1 species